AAAAAUGUAUGUUAUUCCCAAAUUAAUACACCAAAAAUAUUUACAAACCACGAUGUUUUGUAUUUUAAGUGUUUUUCCACGAUAUUGAAUAUGUAUUGUACGCUUAACAUUAAAUUAUGUUUCUUUUUUCUUCACCAGCCUUUACUAUUGGAUACUAUUAUAAUUUUAUGGGUAUUCCACAAGUAUUACUAGUUUGUAAUAAGUUCUGUAUUUUGGAAUAAAAUUCGUUUUAAAUAAUUAAAAUUCUUAUUUUUUGCGCUUACCUCGUCAUCAUCAUUAUCAUCAUCCUGUACUGUCUGGAUCCAGUUAUUAGCAAAUCAGCUCGAGGUCUCCAUUCCAACAGCUUUUUCGUCUAACUUUCAUCUAUCCUUCAGGCUACGUUUCAACCCAGUUCCUCAUUUCUAACGUAAUCUUUUAGCGAUACUUCGAGCAUUGAUCCUUCCAUUUUACGCUGUAUUGGUCCAAACAUGUUGGCAGAUUUUACCACAUAGGCAGCACGCACUGAUCGAACACUUUUCUUUUUAAACAUAUUGGUAGGUUGCUCUUAAACCACCCUUAGAGACAAACUCUUAGAGAAGAUUAUUCGCAGGUCUGGUUGUCUCUUGUAAUUUUAAUUUCAUGGCCAAGAUGGUCCAAUUUCAUUUCCUUCCAUCACAAUGUUUUCGCUAAGAACCAGAUUAGUCAUAAAUUUUGUUUUAGAGAUAUUGAUUUCCAGACCAACCGAUGCACAUACUUCGUUCAGGUCACGCAGCAUCGCAUUGACACAAAAUUACGGUUAUUACAUUGUGUCAUAUGGAAAUUAACAUUGAAGAAGAAACUGAUAAACCACGGAAACGCCAAAAACGUUCAGCAUCAUGGCAAAAAAGCCUUGAUAAAAUAAUGAGAUAUUCAUCAGCUACUUUUCCGGAGAUGUAGGCAUAAUACAAAGUCCUUCAGAUGCUCUACAAUCGGUAAAGAAGUUAUUUUGGAUUUCCAUAGACGAUACGUCCAGAGAAAUAGUCAUCAGAAAGAAGGAGGUACUUUCCCAACCAAAUGAAGUUCCUGAUCUUGAUUGGAAAAGUGAAGUUAAUGUAUGUGAAGUAUUAUAAAACCACCAAGGCAGUGACAUUUCAAGUUUGCACCUUCCAAGCGUUUCUUUAUUAAAAGGAAUCAAAAAAAGAAUAACAUUCUUAUUCAAAGAGUUAUUAUUUCUGACUUAUUUCUGUUUUAUUCUUUAAGUGUUCUCUCUUAUAAUUUUGGUUAAAUAAAGUUUAUUUUGCAUAA